ACGGGUGAGUAACACGUGGGUAACCUGCCUAUAAGACUGGGAUAACAUUCGGAAACGAAUGCUAAUACCGGAUACGCGGUUUGGUCGCAUGACCGAAUCGGGAAAGAUGGAGCAAUCUAUCACUUAUAGAUGGACCCGCGGCGCAUUAGCUAGUUGGUGAGGUAACGGCUCACCAAGGCGACGAUGCGUAGCCGACCUGAGAGGGUGAUCGGCCACACUGGGACUGAGACACGGCCCAGACUCCUACGGGAGGCAGCAGUAGGGAAUCUUCCGCAAUGGACGAAAGUCUGACGGAGCAACGCCGCGUGAGUGAUGAAGGUUUUCGGAUCGUAAAGCUCUGUUGCCAGGGAAGAAUGCUUGGGAGAGUAACUGCUCCCAAGGUGACGGUACCUGAGAAGAAAGCCCCGGCUAACUACGUGCCAGCAGCCGCGGUAAUACGUAGGGGGCAAGCGUUGUCCGGAAUUAUUGGGCGUAAAGCGCGCGCAGGCGGCCUUGUAAGUCUGUUGUUUAAACUUGGGGCUCAACCCCAAGUCGCAAUGGAAACUGCAAAGCUUGAGUGCAGAAGAGGAAAGUGGAAUU
rnacentral:rRNA from 1 species